GGCGGUUCUCGGGUGACCACCCCGGAAUUGGGCUCCUUCCUCUCUGGUUCCGGGUGCGUCACACGAAACCACA
rfam:Myotis brandtii contig257763, whole genome shotgun sequence.